UUCACUUCUUUCUGGCCUCAAAUCAGGUAAGAUUACCCGC
rnacentral:rRNA from 1 species